AUACGUAGGUGGCGAGCGUUACUCGGAAUUACUAGGCGUAAAGCGUAUGUAGGUGGUUAGAUAAGUCUAUGGUGAAAUUUCCUGGCUUAACUGGGAAGGGACAUAGAUACUAUCUGGCUUGAGUGUGGGAGGGGGAGACGGAAUUCCUGGUGUAGCGGUGAAAUGCGUAGAUAUCAGGAGGAACACCGAUGGCGAAAGCAGUCUCCUGGCCCAAUACUGACACUGAGGUACGAAAGCUAGGGUAGCAAACAGGAUUAGAUACCCUGGUAGUCCUAGCUGUAAACGAUGUUCACUAGAUGUGGGAGGUAUCGACCCCUUCCGCGUCGACGCUAACGCAUUAAGUGAACCGCCUGGGGAGUACGGCCGCAAGGUUGAA
rnacentral:rRNA from 1 species